UGUAAUAAAGUUGCCAUCGCUUAUCUCCUUCGUUAAAGAACAUGAAGGGUAGUGUAAGACUAUUAAUGCUUUGAAUAUAGAGGAGAAAAAAGGAAUUUUAGAAGUGGCACCAGAUUGAAUAAAUCUGGUGCGUCCGAGUGGACUCGAACCACCGACCCCCACCA
rnacentral:antisense_RNA from 22 species